AAGCCAGACUCCUACGGGAGGCAGCAGUGGGGGAUAUUGCACAAUGGGGGGAACCCUGAUGCAGCGACGCCGCGUGGGUGAAGGAGCGUUUCGGCGCGUAAAGCCCUAUCGGCAGGGAAGAAGGAGGACGGUACCUGACUAAGAAGCCCCGGCUAACUACGUGCCAGCAGCCGCGGUAAUACGUAGGGGGCAAGCGUUAUCCGGAUUUACUGGGUGUAAAGGGGGCGCAGACGGCAGCGCAAGCCAGGAGUGAAAGCCCGGGGCCCAACCCCGGGACUGCUCUUGGAACUGCGCGGCUGGAGUGCAGGAGGGGCAGGCGGAAUUCCUGGUGUAGCGGUGAAAUGCGUAGAUACCAGGAGGAACACCGGUGGCGAAGGCGGCCUGCUGGACUGCGACUGACGUUGAGGCCCGAAAGCGUGGGGAGCAAACAGGAUUAGAUACCCGGGUA
rnacentral:rRNA from 1 species